rnacentral:rRNA from 1 species
CCCUUUGGGGUGUGACUGCGUACCUUUUGUAUAAUGGGUCAGCGACUUAUAUUCUGUAGCAAGGUUAACCGAAUAGGGGAGCCGGAGGGAAACCGAGUCUUAAUUGGGCGUUAAGUUGCAGGGUAUAGACCCGAAACCCGGUGAUCUAGCCAUGGGCAGGUUGAAGGUUGGGUAACACUAACUGGAGGACCGAACCGACUAAUGUUGAAAAAUUAGCGGAUGACCUGUGGCUGGGGGUGAAAGGCCAAUCAAACCGGGAGAUAGCUGGUUCUCCCCGAAAGCUAUUUAGGUAGCGCCUCGUGAAUUCAUCUCCGGGGGUAGAGCACUGUUUCGGCUAGGGGGCCAUCCCGGCUUACCAACCCGAUGCAAACUGCGAAUACCGGAGAAUGUUAUCACGGGAGACACACGGCGGGUGCUAACGUCCGUCGUGAAGAGGGAAACAACCCAGACCGCCAGCUAAGGUCCCAAAGUCAUGGUUAAGUGGGAAACGAUGUGGGAAGGCCCAGACAGCCAGGAUGUUGGCUUAGAAGCAGCCAUCAUUUAAAGAAAGCGUAAUAGCUCACUGGUCGAGUCGGCCUGCGCGGAAGAUGUAACGGGGCUAAACCAUGCACCGAAGCUGCGGCAGCGACGCUGAUGCGUUGUUGGGUAGGGGAGCGUUCUGUAAGCCUGUGAAGGUGGCCUGUGAGGGUUGCUGGAGGUAUCAGAAGUGCGAAUGCUGACAUAAGUAACGAUAAAGCGGGUGAAAAGCCCGCUCGCCGGAAGACCAAGGGUUCCUGUCCAACGUUAAUCGGGGCAGGGUGAGUCGACCCCUAAGGCGAGGCCGAAAGGCGUAGUCGAUGGGAAACGGGUUAAUAUUCCCGUACUUGGUGUUACUGCGAAGGGGGGACGGAGAAGGCUAUGUUGGCCGGGCGACGGUUGUCCCGGUUUAAGCGUGUAGGUGUGUGUUCCAGGUAAAUCCGGUUCACUUUAACACUGAGGCGUGAUGACGAGGCACUACGGUGCUGAAGCAACAAAUGCCCUGCUUCCAGGAAAAGCCUCUAAGCAUCAGGUAACAUCAAAUCGUACCCCAAACCGACACAGGUGGUCAGGUAGAGAAUACCAAGGCGCUUGAGAGAACUCGGGUGAAGGAACUAGGCAAAAUGGUGCCGUAACUUCGGGAGAAGGCACGCUGACACGUAGGUGAAGUGAUUUACUCAUGGAGCUGAAGUCAGUCGAAGAUACCAGCUGGCUGCAACUGUUUAUUAAAAACACAGCACUGUGCAAACACGAAAGUGGACGUAUACGGUGUGACGCCUGCCCGGUGCCGGAAGGUUAAUUGAUGGGGUCAGCGCAAGCGAAGCUCCUGAUCGAAGCCCCGGUAAACGGCGGCCGUAACUAUAACGGUCCUAAGGUAGCGAAAUUCCUUGUCGGGUAAGUUCCGACCUGCACGAAUGGCGUAAUGAUGGCCAGGCUGUCUCCACCCGAGACUCAGUGAAAUUGAACUCGCUGUGAAGAUGCAGUGUACCCGCGGCAAGACGGAAAGACCCCGUGAACCUUUACUAUAGCUUGACACUGAACAUUGAGCCUUGAUGUGUAGGAUAGGUGGGAGGCUUUGAAGUGUGGACGCCAGUCUGCAUGGAGCCGGCCUUGAAAUACCACCCUUUAAUGUUU